GACGAACCGUGCGAACGUUGUUCGGAAUCACUGGGCUUAAAGGGCGCGUAGGCGGCCGGGUUGGUCGUGGGUGAAAUCCCCCAGCUUAACUGGGGAAUUGCCUACGAUACUGCCUGGCUCGAGGGAGGAAGGGGCGGCCGGAACUGCCGGUGGAGCGGUGAAAUGCGUUGAGAUCGACAGGAACGCCGGUGGCGAAAGCGGGCCGCUGGCCCUCUUCUGACGCUGAUGCGCGAAAGCCAGGGGAGCGAACGGG
rnacentral:rRNA from 1 species